GCAGUGGUGGGUCAGUGGGCAAACUCUCAUCUUUCACAUGGGAGACCCAGGUUUGAGUCCCGGCCGAUGCG
rnacentral:tRNA from 1 species